UAAUCUAUUCAGGACAGAUCCUAUUCUAAUUAUAACAGAUCCACAUUUAACUAUUUAGAAUCACUUAUUAUCGCAAGUCCAACUACAUCAAUCUCCCAACCAAUAACUUCUACCAUUCGUUCAAAUGAUAGAAG
rfam:Populus trichocarpa isolate Nisqually-1 chromosome 5, whole genome shotgun sequence.